UACAGAGGUGGCAAGCGUUGUUCGGAAUUACUGGGCGUAAAGGGCGCGUAGGCGGCUCGGUAAGUCGGGAGUGAAAGCCCGGGGCUCAACCCCGGAACGGCUCUCGAAACUGCCGCGGCUCGAGUGCGGAAGAGGCAACCCGGAAUUCCCAGUGUAGCGGUGAAAUGCGCAGAUAUCAGGAGGAACACCGGUGGCGAAGGCGGAUCUCUGGGCCUGACCUGACGCUGAGGCGCGAAAGCUAGGGGGAGCGAACAGG
rnacentral:rRNA from 1 species